rnacentral:lncRNA from 1 species
AGGGUUUUAAGUCAGGAGGUGACGUGACUGGAGGUGCAACACCAGCUGGCCACGGGAUGGAGGAAGCUGCAGUCAGCCACUGCGGUGGCAACAACCCACUGAGGCACCGAAUUAAACAAAAAAGGGUUGAGGUUAUGAAAGGAGAGGUUCCAGCUAGAGUUCAAGAAAGUCUUCCAGACCUGCCUGCAGAGAAUUAAACCCAGACACUGUGAAGUGCCCGUCCCAUCCUUCAAGAACCAGCUCAGAUGCCUCCUCUCUGGGAAGCCUUUCCUGCGCCCCCAAGGCUGUUGCUCACUGGAGAGCCCUGAGAGCAGGCAUUAUACUGCAUCCCAUUUGUAUAUUUUGUAUCCCUUUCUAUCUCAUAAAUGGGG